AGGAGACCCUGGAGAGGUGGAGAUCUGCUCUAGAGAGGAGAGGAGUGAAGGUCAGUAGGACCACCAAGACAGAAUACAUGUGUGUGAAUGAGAGGGAGGUCAGUGGAGUGGUGAGGAUGAAGGGAGUAGAGUUGGCGAAGGUGGAUGAGUUUAAAUACUUGGGAUCAACAGUACAGAGUAAUGGGGAUUGUGGAAGAGAAGUGAAGAAGAGAGUGCAGGCAGAGUGGAAUGGGUGGAGAAGAGUGUCAGGAGUGAUUUGUGACAGACGAGUAUCAGCAAGAGUGAAAGGGAAGGUCUACAGGACGGUAGUGAGACCAGCUGUGUUAUAUGGGCUGGAGACGGUGG